GCAGAGGUUCCCCUACAUGCAUUGAUCCAUGGGAGAUGAGCUGUUUGAUGGUGCAUGUGAGGAGAUCCCAGAACCGUGUGAUGAUGAUUUGUCUGCAGCCAGUCAGCAAAAUAGGACACGUCAUCAGAACUCUCUACAGCAUGAUACAGAUGUAACAGGCAGCCUCUCUGCAAUGGAUACCUGCAGUAAAAGUGCCAUGAGCAGGACUCCUGUGGGUAAGAUGGUGUUACCAGGACGACCAUUUGCACCAAGAAAUGUUACAGACUUGAAAGUUGGGAACCUGGUGAAAUUCUCCCAUCCAGCAGGGAAAAUCAGUAAAGGAACAAUCAAGUACUUGGGGCACCUGCUUGGGAGAGAGGAUGUGUAUCUUGGGGUAGAAAUGGAGGGCAGCGAAGAAGGAGA
rnacentral:lncRNA from 1 species